AAACCGCCCAAUGAAAUGCGGCCGAAAAUGACUCGGACACGCCGGAGGAGGAAGAAAAAUGCUGCUUAUUACUGUAUUACUUCCCAGAUGCGAAGUGUCCGAGCACUUGAGCUGCGCGGCCACGCCAUUCAGUCUCUGUCCCGCGUCUCUCUUGUAAACUUUUUCCUUUAAUGAACCCGUCGUUGAGUUCUUAUUUUUUUAUGAAAUCCUUUCACUUUGUCGCACGCACGACCUUACACGUAUGUGAUAUAUUUCACUAUAUUGUCUUGGGAGUUUAAAUGAUGCCCCCACCCCCCACACAUACGGAGACAGACAAACUAGUACAUUUACGUGUGUGAAAUUCUGCGUCCCUAGAGAAUUAACGCACCUAAGUGCGUAUAUUUCAGUAAUAACACGUAGACCGUUAUUUUAUGAGCUUGAACACUAAAACCAGCCGCUAAAUCUGGCUUGUGAUUUGUUUAUGAAAGAGUUAGACUGGGAACACAAAGAAAUUUCGUUUUGGUUAUCCUAUUUUUGAAAUAACAUUAAUGAUAAUGUGAAAUCGACAGUCUCAAAUAUUGCACUCGGACGCAGCGGCUUAUUAUGGGAUCUCAGUGUCGCUUUCGUUUAAGGAUUUCUUUGCAGACCCGGCACAGCUGUUUGAGAACUAGAAGCUUGCGGAAACUCCACGUCUGACUCACAACCCUCCAGUUGUUUCGCACCAGCGCCGCCUCCUGGCCAUUCUACCGAUGUUCACUGCACAAUUCGGAAAGCGCGGGCAAGAGGGCACUAGAAGGAUGGUCCCACAGAUUACAGAAUUCAUAAUCGACAAAGGAUGUGGUCCAAUGAGGUGGCAUAAAGCUGCCUCAAUCUCAGUGACCAGAUGAGUUUGAAGUUGGCAUGUGAAUCAGGGACAACUACAGAACAUGGGAGUGGACAUGUGUUAAAGAAACCUUUGACAAUAUAUACACUAUAACUCCACUGACAUCACUUCUGGUGUCCGUCCAACAGGACCCGCCUCUUCCUGCCAGAAGAUCCACCAUCUUAGUUAGUUUGAUUGGGAACUCCUGUCUGAAAUGACGUCUCUGCAAUUUUUGUGUGUUUUUGUUUAAUUUUGAUCUCUCCAAUUAUACAGGGUGACCUGGCUAGUACCCCAACUCUUUAUCAUUGUCUUGACAUGCUGUUACAUAACGUAAACAGUACCCGUAAUUGAAAGUCAAAGCCAAAAUGACAGUGAAGAAAUAUACUGUAUAUACUCGUGGAUAAGUUGGGACUUGAUUUUACCGUAUAAUUUCUGGUAUUUUAUAAU